CACCUUGACGCUGCCCCCCCGCCCCCUUAUCUUUCUUCUGCUCCCUCGGGAGCUAUGGACAUAAACGGCAGUUUUACUAGCUGGACUGGACUCGGCUGCGAAGCCGACACCUCCACCAAACUUCCCUUCGUUGGGGGCCUAUGGGGGUGAAACAGGAUCGACAGACUGUGAACGAGC
rnacentral:tmRNA from 1 species